UUUGUGAAUGUAUUGCAUUCUUUUUUAACUUAAGAAGAUUCAAAGAUUUGAACUGUAACUGUUGAAUUAUUUGUGGCGGAGAUGGAUAAAAUGGUACCUUGGCCUCCCAAAAAAAUAUCAGAGGUGGUAACUACUCCCUCGUCGUAAUUACGCGCAAUUGUGUUUAAGGCGUGUUUAAGACUAAAAAACAUCUCUCUUCCGUAAUAACAUACUGAUAUUCAUAUUGAAACCUAACACGACCUUUAUCGCUUUAGUUCUUUUUUGCGAGUUUGAUCAUAUUUGGUCCAGACAUGAGUCACUAAGUGUAUAAAAGUAGAGAGGAAAAAU